GCCAGCAUGGCAUAAUGGUUUGGGCAUUGGACUAGGACUCCAGAGACCAAGGUUCAAAUCCUUGCUUGGCU